ACGCUGGUGGUUCAGUGGUAGAAUUCCUGCUUCCCACGCAGGAGGCCCGGGUUCAAUUCCCAGCCAAUGUA